rnacentral:rRNA from 1 species
AAAUUGAAGAGUUUGAUCAUGGCUCAGAUUGAACGCUGGCGGCAGGCCUAACACAUGCAAGUCGAGCGGAAACGAGUUAUCUGAACCUUCGGGGAACGAU